UGAGGAAUAUUGGGCAAUGCCCGAAAGGGUGACCCAGCAACGCCGCGUGGAGGAUGAAGGUCGUAAGAUUGUAAACUCCUGUUAGAGGGGAAGAAUAACUAAGUUUGGAGCUUAGUAUGACUGUACCCUCAGAGAAAGCCCCGGCUAACUACGUGCCAGCAGCCGCGGUAAUACGUAGGGGGCAAGCGUUGUCCGGAUUUACUGGGUGUAAAGGGCGCGCAGGCGGAAUGGAAAGUCAGUGGUGAAAUCCUACAGCUUAACCGUAGAACUGCCUUUGAUACUUUCAUUCUUGAGUUCGGGAGAGAGAGACGGAAUUCCAGGUGUAGUGGCGAAAUACGUAGAUAUCUGGAAGAACACCAGUUGCGAAGGCGGUCUCUUGGUCCGAUACUGACGCUGAGGCGCGAAAGCGUGGGGAGCAAACA
rnacentral:rRNA from 1 species